rnacentral:rRNA from 1 species
ACGAAGGGGGCUAGCGUUGCUCGGAAUCACUGGGCGUAAAGCGCACGUAGGCGGACUCUUAAGUCAGGGGUGAAAUCCUGGAGCUCAACUCCAGAACUGCCUUUGAUACUGAGAGCCUUGAGUUCGGGAGAGGUGAGUGGAACUGCGAGUGUAGAGGUGAAAUUCGUAGAUAUUCGGAAGAACACCAGUGGCGAAGGCGACUCACUGGACAUGUAUUGACGCUGAGGUGCGAAAGCGUGGGGAGCAAACAGGA